rnacentral:rRNA from 1 species
GACAGAGGUGCCGAGCGUUAGGCGGAAUCACUGGGCUUAAAGCGUGUGUAGGUGGAUGCCUAAGUACCUUGUGAAAUCCCACGGCUUAACCGUGGAACUGCUUGGUAUACUGGGUGUCUUGAGCCAGCUAGGGGCUACCGGAACAAAUGGUGGAGCGGUGAAAUGCGUAGAUAUCGGGAGGAACACCUGUGGCGAAGGCGGCCCCCUGGUUGGAUACUGACGCUGAUACGCGAAAGCGUGGGGAGCAAACAGG